UAAGAGUCUUUGAUGUGAAGACUAUUGGCU
rnacentral:piRNA from 1 species